rnacentral:lncRNA from 1 species
GGCGUGAGCCACCGUGCCCAGCCCAAUCCAGGCAGUUUGAUCCAGUCUGCAAGUUGAACCCCUACCAUCCACCCCUCUAACAGUUUGGUAUUCAGAGACAAUGUGGCAAUUGUAAUGUAUCUCUAUCAUUUUCCCAGGGAAGGAUGCCAAGACACAGACAGGAGUUUGUGGCGGUCACCCAGUGAAUCAUCCCCAGCUAGGGCUGGAACUGAAGCCUCAGGCUUGGGGAGGGGUCAGUUCAGAAACCUUGAGGGUCUUCUCUGACGCCUGCUUGGCUCCCUUGUGUAUGUUUUGGAGAAUUUUUUUGUAGGGAGGCAAGUGAGGGAGGAGGGCAGAACUUAAAUGCUGCAACAUUCAAGGGCUCAAACGGUGGUUGCCUCCCACUAGGGAGGGCAGGGGGCCGCCAGAGAGAGCCUUGAUUAUGUCCUGCACCUUAAUGGGUCCUUCCUAAGAGAGUGGCUUUGGUUUCCAUGACAACAAGCCGGCAGCAUCAGAGCAAGAUAGUGGAGUCUCCUCCCCCGACCCACAUCUGGUUCUGGAAUCUCUACCCCUCUAUCCCAGUCAUUCCAAAUCGCAGGAAUCCAGCUGUGGCUCAGCCCAAGACCAGAGGGGGCAGCCACGCAGUGGACAGCGCUCCUUCUCUGUGGCCUAGCAGGCAGGAGGACCCCUGGCCCUGCCCCACGCUGAUCCAAUUCUCUCCCCUUGAAAGUGGGCUAGACUUGGCAAAUACGAUGUGGCAGAAGUGACACUAUGACUUCUGAGGCUGCGUGAUAAGAGGUGAUACGAUACAGCUUAUGCCUGGUUCUCUCUCUGGAUGCUUGCUCCUGGGACCCAGCAGCCAUCUUGUGAGGAAGCUCAAGCUACAUGGAGGUGUUCCUGCCGGCAGUCCCAGUUGAGGUCCUUCAAGAUGACUCCAACCCCAGCCUCCUUCUGACUUGAACCACAUACGAACUGCCCCCAGUGAGAACUGUCUAGCAGAGUCCACUCUCAGAACCAUGACAAAUUCUGGGCUCUUGAGAACAACAUCUGCUUGUUUACUGCUAUAUAACCAGGAUCCAGCACACAGCCCAGCACAUAGCAGGUGCUAAGAAUAUAAAUAAAUGUGGCUGAAUGUUUAAAUGAAUGAAGAAAUGAAACAAAGAUACAUACUAAUGCCUUCAGGCUGUGCUACAUUAUAUAAAUCUAUCUAGUCCCUUCAGGGAGUGGGAGACACACUGAGACUGUUUCUUAGAAACUAAACCAUGGCAUAUUUUCCCAAUGAACAGACAAUUCCCCGGAGAGGAAACAGACAUCGUAAACAAACUCUUGGGGAACUGUGUGAUUUGGUUAGUAAUUAUAGACAGGCAAAUUAAAGCUACCAGCUAGCACGUGGCACAAUCCCAGUUACUAUUACUGCACCACAGAUGACCCCAAAAUGUUCAGGCUUAAAACAAUCAUCAUGGCUGGGCGGAGUGGCUCACGCCUGUAA